GACGAACGCUGGCGGCGUGCUUAACACAUGCAAGUCGAACGGUAAGGCCCUUCGGGGUACACGAGUGGCGAACGGGUGAGUAACACGUGGGUGAUCUGCCCUGCACUUCGGGAUAAGCCUGGGAGACUGGGUCUAAUACCGGAUAGGACCACUGCCCGCAUGGGUGGUGGUGGAAAGCUUUUGCGGUGUGGGAUGGGCCCGCGGCCUAUCAGCUUGUUGGUGGGGUGAUGGCCUACCAAGGCGACGACGGGUAGCCGGCCUGAGAGGGUGACGGGCCACACUGGGACUGAGAUACGGCCCAGACUCCUACGGGAGGCAGCAGUGGGGAAUAUUGCACAAUGGGCGCAAGCCUGAUGCAGCGACGCCGCGUGAGGGAUGACGGCCUUCGGGUUGUAAACCUCUUUCAGCACCGACGAAGCGCAAGUGACGGUAGGUGCAGAAGAAGGACCGGCCAACUACGUGCCAGCCGCCGCGGUAA
rnacentral:rRNA from 1 species